rnacentral:rRNA from 1 species
UACGUAGGGGGCAAGCGUUGUCCGGAUUUAUUGGGCGUAAAAGGCUUGUAGGUGGCCACGCCAAGUCGGAUGUGAAAUCUCCCGGCUCAACUGGGAGGGGUCAUUCGAUACUGGCGGGCUCGAGGCCGGUAGGGGGAAGUGGAAUUCCCGGUGUAGUGGUGGAAUGCGUAGAUAUCGGGAGGAACACCAGUGGCGAAGGCGACAUCCUGGACCGGUAUUGACGCUGAGGCGCGAAAGCCAGGGGAGCAAACGGG